GACGAACGCUGGCGGCGUGCUUAACACAUGCAAGUCGAACGAUGACGACCGAGCUUGCUCGGUCUGAUUAGUGGCGAACGGGUGAGUAACACGUGAGCAACCUGCCCUUCACUCUGGGAUAACCUCGGGAAAUCGGGGCUAAUACCGGAUAUGAGCUCCUGUCGCAUGGCGGGUGUUGGAAAGUUUUUCGGUGAAGGAUGGUCUCGCGGCCUAUCAGUUUGUUGGUGAGGUAGUGGCUCACCAAGGCGAUGACGGGUAGCCGGCCUGAGAGGGCGACCGGCCACACUGGGACUGAGACACGGCCCAGACUCCUACGGGAGGCAGCAGUGGGGAAUAUGGCACAAUGGGCGAAAGCCUGAUGCAGCGACGCCGCGUGAGGGAUGACGGCCUUCGGGUUGUAAACCUCUUUCAGCAGGGAAGAAGCGAAAGUGACGGGACCUGCAGAAGAAGCGCCGGCUAACUACGU
rnacentral:rRNA from 1 species